rnacentral:rRNA from 1 species
AGCGAACGCUGGCGGCAGGCCUAACACAUGCAAGUCGAACGAACCUUUCGGGGUUAGUGGCGGACGGGCGAGUAACACGUGGGAACGUGCCUUUAGGUUCGGAAUAACUCAGGGAAACUUGUGCUAAUACCGAAUGUGCCCUUCGGGGGAAAGAUUUAUCGCCUUUAGAGCGGCCCGCGUCUGAUUAGCUAGUUGGUUGAGGUAAUGGCUCACCAAGGCGACGAUCAGUAGCUGGUCUGAGAGGAUGAUCAGCCACAUUGGGACUGAGACACGGCCCAAACUCCUACGGGAGGCAGCAGUGGGGAAUCUUGCGCAAUGGGCGAAAGCCUGACGCAGCCAUGCCGCGUGAAUGAUGAAGGUCUUAGGAUUGUAAAAUUCUUUCACCGGGGACGAUAAUGACGGUACCCGGAGAAGAAGCCCCGGCUAACUACGUG